GAUGAACGCUGGCGGCGUGCUUAACACAUGCAAGUCGAACGGAAAGGCUCCUGCUUUCAGGGGUACUCGAUUGGCGAACGGGUGAGUAACACGUGGGUGAUCUGCCCUGCACUUCGUGAUAAGCCUUGGAAACUGGGUCUAAUACCGGAUAGGACGAUGGUUUGGAUGCCAUUGUGGAAAGUUUUUCGGUGUGGGAUGAGCUCGCUGCCUAUCAGCUUGUUGGUGGGGUAAUGGCCUACCAAGGCGUCGACGGGUAGCCGGCCUGAGAGGGUGUACGGCCACCUUGGGACUGAGAUACGGACCAGAAUCCUAUGGGAGGCAGCAGUGGGGAAUAUUGCACAAUGGGGGCAAGCCUGAUGCAGCGACGCCGCGUGGGGGAUGACGGCCUUCGGGUUGUAAACUACUUUCGAUAGGGCCGAAGAGCAAGUGACGGUACCUGGAGAAGAAGCCCCGGCUAACUACGUG
rnacentral:rRNA from 1 species